rnacentral:rRNA from 1 species
GAGGAAUAUUGGUCAAUGGGCGAUGGCCUGAACCAGCCAAGUAGCGUGAAGGAUGACUGCCCUAUGGGUUGUAAACUUCUUUUAUAAAGGAAUAAAGUCGGGUAUGCAUACCCGUUUGCAUGUACUUUAUGAAUAAGGAUCGGCUAACUCCGUGCCAGCAGCCGCGGUAAUACGGAGGAUCCGAGCGUUAUCCGGAUUUAUUGGGUUUAAAGGGAGCGUAGAUGGAUGUUUAAGUCAGUUGUGAAAGUUUGCGGCUCAACCGUAAAAUUGCAGUUGAUACUGGAUGUCUUGAGUGCAGUUGAGGCAGGCGGAAUUUCUGGUGUAGCGGUGAAAUGCUUAGAUAUCACGAAGAACUCCGAUUGCGAAGGCAGCCUGCUAAGCUGCAACUGACAUUGAGGCUCGAAAGUGUGGGUAUCAAACAGGAUUAGCUACCCUGGUAGUCCACACGGUAAACGAUGAUACUCGCUGUUUGCGAUA